rnacentral:rRNA from 1 species
UAGGGAAUCUUCGGCAAUGGACGAAAGUCUGACCGAGCAACGCCGCGCGAGUGAAGAAGGUUUUCGGAUCGUAAAACUCUGUUGUUAGAGAAGAACAAGGACGUUAGUAACUGAACGUCCCCUGACGGUAUCUAACCAGAAAGCCACGGCUAACUACGUGCCAGCAGCCGCGGUAAUACGUAGGUGGCAAGCGUUGUCCGGAUUUAUUGGGCGUAAAGCGAGCGCAGGCGGUUUCUUAAGUCUGAUGUGAAAGCCCCCGGCUCAACCGGGGAGGGUCAUUGGAAACUGGGAGACUUGAGUGCAGAAGAGGAGAGUGGAAUUCGAUGUGUAGCGGUGAAAUGCGUAGAUAUAUGGGGGAACACCAGUGGCGAAGACGGCUCUCUGGUCUGUAACUGGCGCUGGGGCUCGAGAGCGUGGGGAACAAACAGG